rnacentral:rRNA from 2 species
CUCGGCAACGGAUAUCUCGGCUCUCGCAUCGAUGAAGAACGUAGCGAAAUGCGAUACUUGGUGUGAAUUGCAGAAUCCCGUGAACCAUCGAGUCUUUGAACGCAAGUUGCGCCCGAAGCAUUAGGCUGAGGGCACGUCUGCCUGGGCGUCACGC